rnacentral:misc_RNA from 1 species
CUGUGCAGCAGCAGAGAGGAGGCAUCGGCAGAGGGCUCGCGGCCAUGGGCAACUGCGAGCUCGCUGCAAUCCAUGGACAGGGAGCCAACCGCGCUGCGUGGGAGAGGAACAGGGAGGGCGUGGCUGGAGGAAAGGGGCGAGCUGCUUGUGGCCAUGGGGGAGAAGAAAGGGCGCCGUCGAGGGAGCUUCAACAGUGGAGCGCUCGGCUGCUGGGCUGCUCACCGUGGACAGCAGAGAAAGGCAGGUGCAGUGGAGAAAGGGCGCUCAAAACUGCUGGCCGGAGCUAGGGCUCGGCCAUGGGAAAGAAGGGGGAAGGAGGAAGGGGAGCCGGCUGGUGGAGAUGGGAGAGCUCGGCUCCAUGCAGAUAUGGAGCUCGCCAUUUGGAGCAGCGACAGGGGGUGUCCUUGGCUACUGGGCGAGCUCGGCAUGGAGAGGCUGCUUGCUGCCGUGAUGCGGGAGGAAGAAGGGGCGCUGGGGAGGAAGAGCUACUGCUCCCCUGCGGCAAGGGACACAGGAAGAAAGCCGGCGUCGAGCUCCAGGACAUGGGGUCGCUGGAGCGUCGGCUUCAUUCCUUGA